rnacentral:lncRNA from 1 species
GUUGAUACUUCAGGGCCAUGGUGGGUGGGAGUUGGAUUUCUGUUCCUCCAACUCUGUAAUUAAUUUAUCUAGCAACGAGGAUACAGUGAUGCCAGGAAGAAAGAAAAUAAAAAAGCCCCUGGAGGGGCUGUCUGUGUCUUUGCAGAAUGACUGGGGACUCCUGGGUUAGAGCUGCAGUUUAGACGUGAGUGAACUUUUUAAAAGUCUGUGUGAGUGUGUGGAGUCAACGGCUAUGUAUCAAAGGGGUCCGUGUGAUGUGUGUGUCUCUUUAAACACUUACGUAAUAGUCUGUCUGUACUGUGUGAAAGGACAUGGCAUGCACAUAUGUGUGAUGGGACAGUAUCAGGUCACACAUUGUGGUAUUGUGGUAGGCAGGUGCUAUGAUUUGCAUAAAGUAUAUAUGUUUGUGCUACAUAAGCCUUGUAUGGAAAGAUGAGAGAAUAUAUGUCCAUGUGUUGUACUAUAUGUAUAUGUAUACACACAUGUAUGUGUUGUGUGAACAUGUAUAGUGCAAGGAUGUGAAAUGUGAGAGGAAUACCGUAAAGGCACAAUUCACAUAUGUAUCAUGUGUUCAUAUGUGACUAAGAGUGUGAGCCAUUGUAUGCAUAAAGCAUAUAUGGAUUGUGUGUGUGGUCUAAUAUUGUUGUGUAUGAAGCAUGUUUACAUAGGUGUGUGUAUAUGAUCUGAAGGUACAAGGUGCUGGGUGUUGUUUAUAGUAUGCACGAGGGUGGUGUGUCUUAUCUAUGGUGUGUAUAAGUAUGUGUGGUGUGUUAUGACGGUCACGUGUGAGUGUAGUAUGUUCACAGGCCAAGAAGCAUGCUUGGACGCCAGGCACCUGUGCAGACAGGCCAGCCCAACUCUUUGAUGUUUGGCACAGCAGCAUCCUGCGCAGUCUCUGUGUCCCGCUGUUCUGCUCAGGGAGCCAGAGUCUGGGGCAGGAAGAAGGGUCAGAGAGUCACCACACCCUUGAGCCCUGGGGAAAGGUUUAAAGUUGAAAAUAUUUGACCAGGAUGCAGACCAACAGGCUCUUUGCCCCUAGGCUGCACCUCAAAACAUAGGCCUCACCUGCAGAGUUCAGAGCGGAGAGAAACAGGUUACCCACCAGUACCAGGGGAGUCAGAGCCUCAUUUCCUAGGUCUAGAUUAACACUUACAGGGAUACCUCUCAGGGGGACGAACAAAUCACUUGACAUCCAUAAAGCAAAGGUAAUUGGCCACCUCAGCGCGUGAAGGCACUUGGCACCAAGUGUGCUGGCUUGACUGUGACCCCGAGGACCACGUAACAGAAGAGGAUAACCACUGCCCACCAUUGUCCUUCAAUCUACCCCCACACAAUCAGUAAGCGUAAUUAAAAAAAAUUAAAACAUACGUAACAACUGC